AGGGCGCACGGUGGAUGCCUUGGCACUAGGAGCCGAUGAAGGACGGAACUAAUACCGAUAUGCUUCGGGGAGCUAUAAGUAAGCUUUGAUCCGGAGAUUUCCGAAUGGGGGAACCCAGUACACAUCAGUGUAUUGCUUGUCAGUGAAUACAUAGCUGGCCGGCGGCAGACGCGGGGAACUGAAACAUCUCAGUACCCGCAGGAAGAGAAAGAAAACUCGAUUCCCAUAGUAGCGGCGAGCGAAGUGGGAAGAGCCCAAACCGAGAAGCUUGCUUCUCGGGGUUGUAGGACUGGACAUUGGAGUUACCAAAGUCCGACGUAGUCGAAGUCAGCUGGAAAGCUGCGCCACAGAAGGUGAAAGCCCUGUAAGCGAAACGUCGAACCCUCCGUCCAGGAUCCUGAGUACGGCGGAACACGUGAAAUUCCGUCGGAAUCCGGGAGGACCAUCUCCCAAGGCUAAAUACUCCCUAGUGACCGAUAGUGAACCAGUACCGUGAGGGAAAGGUGAAAAGCACCCCGGAAGGGGAGUGAAACAGUUCCUGAAACCGUGUGCCUACAAUUAGUCAAAGCCCGUUAAUGGGUAAUGGCGUGCCUUUUGUAGAAUGAACCGGCGAGUUACGUUUGCUUGCGAGGUUAAGAUGAAAAGUCGGAGCCGUAGCGAAAGCGAGUCUGAACAGGGCGAAUGAGUAAGCAGAUGUAGACCCGAAACCAAGUGACCUACCCAUGACCAGGUUGAAGGUGUGGUGAAACACACUGGAGGACCGAACCCAUGUAUGUUGAAAAAUGCUGGGAUGAGUUGUGGGUAGCGGUGAAAUUCCAAACGAACUUGGAGAUAGCUGGUUCUCUCCGAAAUAGCUUUAGGGUUAGCCUCGGAGGAUGGAUCAUGGAGGUAGAGCACUGUUUGAACUAGGGGCCCAUCAAGGGUUACUGAAUUCAGAUAAACUCCGAAUACCAUCGAUCUUACUCCGGGAGUCAGACAGUGAGCGAUAAGGUCCAUUGUCGAAAGGGGAACAGCCCAGAUCACCAGUUAAGGUCCCUAAAUUUAUGCUAAGUGGAAAAGGAUGUGGCGUUGCACAGACAACUAGGAUGUUGGCUCAGAAGCAGCCACCAUUUAAAGAGUGCGUAAUAGCUCACUAGUCGAGUGGCACUGCGCCGAAAAUAUACCGGGGCUAAGCAUAAUACCGAAACUGUGGGUGCACCCGUAAGGGUGCGCGGUAGGAGAGCGUUCUAAGGGCGUUGAAGGUCGAUCGUGAGGACGGCUGGAGCGCUUAGAAGUGAGAAUGCCGGCAUGAGUAGCGAAAGAUCAGUGAGAAUCUGAUCCACCGUAUGACUAAGGUUUCCUGGGGAAGGCUCGUCCUCCCAGGGUUAGUCGGGAUCUAAGGCGAGGCCGAGAGGCGUAGUCGAUGACAAGCAGGUUGAGAUUCCUGCACUAGUUUAUUUUGUUUAAGCGAUGGAGGGACGCAGGAGGCUAAGGAAAGCGCACGGCUGGAAAUGUGCGCCCAAGCAGCAAGUCUGACAGCGAGUGAAAUGCUUGCAGUCUUAAGGACAAGCUGUGAUGGGGAGCGAAAUUAUAGUAGCGAAGUUCCUGAUGUCACACUGCCAAGAAAAGCUUCUAGUGAGAAAUAAACUACCCGUACCGCAAACCGACACAGGUAGUCGAGGAGAGUAUCCUCAGGUGAGCGAGCGAACUCUCGUUAAGGAACUCGGCAAAAUGACCCCGUAACUUCGGAAGAAGGGGUGCUGACCGCAAGGUCAGCCGCAGUGAAUAGGCCCAAACAACUGUUUAUCAAAAACACAGGUCUCUGCUAAAUCGUAAGAUGAUGUAUAGGGGCUGACGCCUGCCCGGUGCUGGAAGGUUAAGAGGAUGAGUUAGCGCAAGCGAAGCCCAGAAUUGAAGCCCCAGUAAACGGCGGCCGUAACUAUAACGGUCCUAAGGUAGCGAAAUUCCUUGUCGGGUAAGUUCCGACCCGCACGAAAGGCGUAAUGAUUUGGGCACUGUCUCAACGAGAGACUCGGUGAAAUUAUAGUACCCGUGAAGAUGCGGGUUACCCGCGACAGGACGGAAAGACCCCAUGGAGCUUUACUGUAGCUUGAUAUUGAGUGUUUGUACCGCUUGUACAGGAUAGGUAGGAGCCGUAGAGAUCGGAACGCUAGUUUCGAUGGAGGCGUUGGUGGGAUACUACCCUAGCUGUGUUGGCUUUCUAACCCGCACCA
rnacentral:rRNA from 1 species